UACAGCAAGUCAUAAUGAUCAUAUGUGAACACUUCCAACAAAUUUGUUACAUACAUGUAUAUAAAAAAAAGAUAGUUACCUAAACGUAAACAUAUCGAAAAGUUAAUUACCUUUAUAAGUCAUUUUAAAUUCAAGAAGUGUAUAUUUGGCUAAAAUGAACACUACAAGUUUAACCAAAACUUAUAACCAAAAAUCCUUCCAAAAUUAUUAAAGUACAAUCAACACUCCAAAGUUUUUUUUAUUUUUUUCCAAAAUCUGAUAAUAGAUCAACAAAUACUCCAACACCGUCAAAAUCAAAUCUGAUCAUUGUAUCGUGGAGGAGAAAUUUGGACACCGUAAAGGACAACCAAAAAUCCCUAACACUCUCUCAGAUGCUGGUAGGAGCACACCAUGAGGGCAACAACCCUCUUCCGAUCCACCAAACCAACCAUCACCUGCCAUCCUGACUCUACCUCCGUCCGUCCCCCUUCCCCUGUCAAAUAUCAAACCAAAAACACCCCUUUCUCUUCAACAUUCUUAUUCAAACACACACACACACAUACAAAAAAAAAACAAAAAAAAAAAAAAAAAAAAAAAAAAAAAAAAAAAAAAAAAAAAAAAGCAAAAAAAAUCGACUAGGAGAAUACCGAAGACCCUUACCUACGUUUACAGUUAGAGACAGAUUCAAGAAGGCCUAGGAGGAUCGUCGGCUGCUUCCGCUCUUGACGGGUCUGCCACAACUAAACCACCGAAGCAACCACCUGCGACGUAUGUCUGCCGAUCGGACCCCUCGGGACCUCCUUUGUCCCUCGCACAUCCCUUCGCAUCGUUCUCUUCCACCUCGAUUUCCACUCCCUUUCGCCAACUUCACAGCAGCUUCGCUGCUUCUUCCCCUCGUCGUUCUUCGGCCUCGUCGACCUGGUAUCGCCUCCCUCUUGCGAUCAGCCAAGGGAUCCGGAUUAUCCGUUGCAAGCCUUCGUGCUCCUUCUUCCUCGCUGCAAGCCUUCGUUCAUCUGCUCCGUCCCUUCGUAAUCCGUUCGUUUUUUUUCAUCUGUAUGACUGAUCGAACAAAAGAUGGGGCGUAAAAGCCCUAAAUUAGUUUAAGUUUGGGCCAUUAAUCAAAAAUGGUCCCUCCAUGAGAUUCCUUUUCAUAAAAGCCCUAAGUUCAUUCAACUUUGAUGAAAUAACCAAAUUACUCCCUUAUUUAAACAUUUAUUCGAAACCAGUCCCAAUCCACAAAUAUUGGACCCAUUUAUUCAAAAAGGCCCCUCCUUUGUCAUUUUUAAUAGAACAAAUCCUAAUCUUCAAACAUGGAAUAAAAAUAACCAUUUCAGCCCCUCCCUUGAAAGAUUUUAACCAAAGUGGUCCUAUUUUGGUUAAUUAAAUUACCAAACAACCCAUAUACUUUGGUGAAGUUACAAAUCAACCCCCAAUAGUUUAAAUUUGUUACGAAACGGACCCGAAAGCAUUUCAAAUUUCAAAAAUUGUGGAUUUGCGGUUUUUCACGACAAGUUUCUCAAAAAAAAAAAUUGAAUUCGAACAAAUGGAACUCACGUUUCAAGUGUGAGUGCUUA
rnacentral:lncRNA from 1 species